UUCCGGUUGAUCCUGCCGGACCUGACUGCUAUCGGAUUGAUACUAAGCCAUGCGAGUCUUUGUAGUAAUACAAGGCAUACGGCUCAGUAACACGUAGUCAACCUACCCUAUGGACGAGAAUAAUCUCGGGAAACUGAGCAUAAUUCUUGAUAGAUCAUAAUGCCUGGAAUGGUUUAUGGUUAAAAUGAUUCGUCGCCAUAGGAUGGGACUGCGGCCUAUCAGCUUGUUGGUGAGGUAAUGGCCCACCAAGGCGAUUACAGGUACGGGCUCUGAGAGGAGAAGCCCGGAGAUGGGUACUGAGACACGGACCCAGGCCCUAUGGGGCGCAGCAGGCGAGAAAACUUUGCAAUGUGCGAAAGCACGACAAGGUUAAUCCGAGUGAUUUCUGCUAAAGAAAUCUUUUACCAGUCGUAAAACCGCUGGUGAAUAAGGGGUGGGCAAGUUCUGGUGUCAGCCGCCGCGGUAAAACCAGCACCUCAAGUGGUCAGGAGGAUUAUUGGGCCUAAAGCAUCCGUAGCCGGCUCUGUAAGUUUUCGGUUAAAUCCAUGUGCUCAACGCAUGGGCUGCCGAAAAUACUGCAUAGCUAGGGAGUGGGAGAGGUAGACGGUACUCGGUAGGAAGGGGUAAAAUCCUUUGAUCUAUCGAUGACCACCUGUGGCGAAGGCGGUCUACCAGAACACGUUCGACGGUGAGGGAUGAAAGCUGGGGGAGCAAACCGGAUUAGAUACCCGGGUAGUCCCAGCUGUAAACGAUGCAGACUCGAUGAUGCAUUGGCAUAUAGCCAGUGCAGUGUCGCAGGGAAGCCGUUAAGUCUGCCGCCUGGGAAGUACGUACGCAAGUAUGAAACUUAAAGGAAUUGGCGGGGGAGCACCACAAGGGGUGAAGCCUGCGGUUCAAUUGGAGUCAACGCCGGG
rnacentral:rRNA from 1 species